UACGGGGGGGGUAAGCGUUGUUCGGAAUUACUGGGCGUAAAGGGCUCGUAGGCGGCCAACUAAGUCAGACGUGAAAUCCCUCAGCUUAACUGGGGAACUGCGUCUGAUACUGGAUGGCUUGGAUUUGGGAGAGGAAUGCGGAAUUCCUGGUGUAGCGGUGAAAUGCGCAGAUAUCAGGAGGAACACCGAUGGCGAAGGCAGGUCUCUGGGCUGACACUGACGCUCAUGCACGAAAGCGUGGGGAGCAAACAGG
rnacentral:rRNA from 1 species